AGAGAAUUAGUUAAAAAAUAAUAUUAAUUUGUCAAAUUAAAGUUACCUGAGUAUUUUCUA
rnacentral:tRNA from 1 species